ACUCGAGUGGCGAACGGGUGAGUAACACGUGGGUGAUCUGCCUUGCACUCUGGGAUAAGCUUGGGAAACUGGGUCUAAUACCGGAUAGGAACCGUCUUUAGUGUGGUGGUUGGAAAGUUUUUCGGUGCAAGAUGAGCUCGCGGCCUAUCAGCUUGUUGGUGGGGUAAUGGCCUACCAAGGCGGCGACGGGUAGCCGGCCUGAGAGGGUGUACGGCCACAUUGGGACUGAGAUACGGCCCAG
rnacentral:rRNA from 1 species